CUGCCUUCGUGGCAAUCACUGAGGCGUGCUUUGCAAACCGGGUUCUCGCAUGUAAGUUUCCCCCAUCUGCAGUUUCAUAACACAAGUCCAGCAUUCAUGUAGAUGCUCAGAAGGAAAGAGAAACAGGGAAGCACUUUCCUAUUAUCCAGGUGUGCAUUUGUCUGCGGGGAAGCCUGCCAGCCAGCUGGCAUACCUGACGUGAUCUGUCCUGCCCUCCACACCUGGGAAAUGCUGGUGGGAUACACAUUGACUUAACUGGGGAGGAAGCAAGUUGUCUCUUCUCUGACUGAGCUUUCUAAACAGUUCCUACUCAGAGGUGGCCUUCUUCCCCCCCAGGCCAUUUAUUCUUCACUCCACACUCUGCGACACGGCUGUAGUCUCAGACUGGUACAAAAUCCUGCAAGCUUGCUUUGCUGCGAACCCACUAAUUUUGUGUGGAGAAUGCUUUUCUUUCAAACCCUGCAGGCACAUUGCUGAUGCCAACAGUUUAUUAAAAUUGGUCUGAUUAUUCCGGCUGACACUUGAGGAUAGAUGAGUUUACUGUGUCUAAUUUUGAAAACCAUCUUAUGAAUCAAAGAUUUGAAAGAUGGAUUUAGGUUUAAAUGAUGAGUUCCUCUUCUUUUGAUCAAUUUUAGUAAAACAUGACAGAAAAGAUGUAAAAAUGUUAGAAUGAAACGCAGCAGACAUGGUGAAAAGUACAGAAGGAUGCUGUGGAAACUGAAACAGAGAUGAAGAGAGGUUCUAAUUUUAAUGUCGAGCAUAAGUGGUAUAGCCAGAGAAGGAUUUUCCAUCAACAAGGAGUGGAUGAAACCCAGCCACUGAAACCCAGACACUCUUGUUCACUGAAAGAGUGGCAGAGAAGAGAUGGAGGCAAAGAAGUGUAAUGCAAAGGCUUUUACCUCAGAUGAUGCUUUAUAAACUCUAAAAAUAUCCAUUUAAAAACCUAGAUCUAUUAAAAAACAUACAUCCAAGAUGUCCACUGUUGUUCUAAGCAAAGACAAAAAUCUACAAGGAACUGACAAUUAUCAGCCACUGAG